GGGGGGUGCAGGUGAGCGUAUUUGGUAAAAAAUAAAAACGCAUUCUUUCAGCUCAAUUAGAGCUAAUAGUUUAAGCAGAAACAACUAUCAAGAAGUUGAGUCUACUACGAAAUGUCAAGUGUUUUUUGAAAAAAAAAAAGAAGAAGAAGAAAGAAAAACACAAAUCAUGGAGUCAAAGUCAACUACAAAAAAUGCAAUUCUAACAGAUGAGCAACGAUGUUUGAAAAUCUUGCAAGCGUAGAACAUGAUGCAGGGGUCCACACAUUACACGUACCAGCUAUGAGCCCUGUUCGGCUACUGCCGCAUCCAUCGGGAUCCUGGCACGUUACAUCUGCCCAUAGAAAUCAAGCAUCAAAACUAGUCUUAGUGCGAAUAUUACCCCAUAAACAAAAAAAGUCAUAAAAAAAAAAAAAAAGAUAGUUCUGUAGGAAUGGCAAGUAAGGAGAACGCAAGUGAAAAUCUGCUUGAACCCGUAACUGGCAUACUGGGGAUUAUGUUAAACUUCGAAUUACGUAUUUCUACAACAACAAUAAUAUGCUAAUUUUUCCACAAAAGAAAGUUCGACAUUAUUAUGACUCGAAUUUAAGAUGAUUUCAUACUAGUAAACUAAAAUACUCCAAGUUUCCUGCAGAGGAGAAACAAGAAGUCGACUUUCUUUCUUACCCUUGGAACAUAAUCCAGCGAUCGCAUCCCAGUGCAAGCCGGAGUUACAGAAGCACCUCCGGACCCCGCUGUUCGAAUUUGGGUCGGGUCCACAGGUGGAUUCCGAGUCACAAUCCGUUUGGUUCCGGCAAAUGGGUUCACUAGGCGAAACCCACUGCAACUCCAGGCCAGGCUGCGGCCACCUGCUCACGGGCAACGAGUAAUCCAAGUUGACAAAAGCCCGGUACGCCCGGCAACCCGCAUCCCUCACCCGAAUGAAUAAGAAGUCGACGACCCGCCCGCCCUGAACGUGCAGCAUAUCUCCGAAUUCUCACAAGCUCCGCCAUCGCUGACAUUCCUGGUCCCGUUGAUAAACGUAUGACAGAGGCUGCUUGAGGUACAAUCCAAAGGAGAGCUCAACAGAGUCUGGGUACAAUUGAGGUACAAGAUGGUGUUGCUGCUGGUGAUGUUGAAAGGCAAGGAAGAGUUGAGCUGGACGCCUUGGGUGGAAAUAUCAGCUGUGAUGCAGGUGCUGGGGAGGAAGGGGGAGGGUUGAAUGGUGAGACGCUGGAGUUGAGGGGAAACGGAGGUGACUGGGUAGGUGUUGUUUAGGGUGUCGAAUAAAAGUGAGCCGGCGCUGCAGCGGAGCUUGUAGAGCUGGUCGCCGCAGGUGGGCCCGGUGCUUAGUGGGUAGGGAACCGGCGUGGCGCCGCAGUCCGGGCAACGCUGAGCGGAGAGUGCAGGCUUGGAGAAUGUUACCAGAAGCAAGGUGCAGGUGGCCAGGAGGAAAUGGAAAUGGUGGCGAGGGGCUGAAGAGAUCGCCAUUGAAAGAGAGGCAAGGGAAGGCGAGAUGAAGGGGUUGGGCAGGGAGGCGACGGUUGGGUAACUUAAAGGCAGUUCCGGAGGUUUAAGAAUUAUUAAUAAAUAAAGGCUUUCGUCAAAGAGUUGAAGUCGGAAUGGCUGCUGAUUAUUUCUGAGAGGACGAAUCAGGUCAGGGCUGGCAGAAGCUUAGAAGAUAUGUAUGAGGGAGACAGGUAGACAGGUAGUGGACUACAAGGACAGCAUCAUUAAUUUUCGCACGUAUUUUGACAUUUUUGCAGCUCGGCUUGGUGGAUCACAAUAUGAAUAUGAAUAAGUAAGUUGAAAAUGCGAGACAUCCUAACCUUGAUAAUGACGACUGCAAAAUUGACUAGUUUGAAAGCUGGCAAGGUUGCAGCACUUUUAUCACCCCAUUAUCGUCUAAGACUUGCGUUGCUCACUGCUGGCGCUGGGUUAAGAGAUGGUCGUGUGGAUGGAAAAAAUAACUUGUGACUUUGCAACAGCCACUUAAAAGAAGAAGAAGAAGAUUAUAAUCGGCUCAAAGUUAAUCGGCAAACAUCCGGCAGUCUUACAACCCCCCCUAACAAUUUGUACGCUCUUAACAAACAACAUGUAUCUUAAAAUAUACGAGGGGUUCGUUUGGAUUCCUUGUUUUUUGGUCUGUUUUUGAAAAAUUAUUUUUCACAUUCCAAAUGCUACAGUAAAUGUGUAUUUCAAAAAUAAUUCCAAAAAAUAUCAUAUCAAACCAAUAUAUCAAAAACAACUCCAAAUACAUAUUUAAUAUGUUUAUUUCAAUUUGUAUAUUUCAAUUAUGUAUAGGAUAUAUAUAUUAUAUUAAUUUAAAUAUAUUUAUUUAUACAUAUUAUAAAUAUUUUAUUUUAUAUAAAAAUAUUUUUAUAUUUUUAUAUAAAUAUUAUAUAUUAUAUAUUUAAUAUAUACAUAAUAUAUAUUUUAUAUAUUAUAUAUACUAUACAUUUAUACAUCAUAUAUAUUUAUGUAUAUUUUUAAUAUACAUUUAUAUUAUGUAUUAUAUAUAAUAUAAAACAUUUAUAAUACAUUUAUGUAAUUAUACAUUUAUAUAAAUAUUAUAUAUUAUAUAUUUAAUAUAUACAUAAUAUAUAUUAUAUAUAUUAUACAUUUAUAUAAAUGUACAUUUAUAUAUAAUAUACAUAUUGAUGUAUAUUUAUAAUAUACAUUUAUAUUAUGUAUUAUAUAUAAUAUAAUACAUUUAUAAUACAUUCAUACAUUUAUAUUAAUAUACACAAUAUUAAUUAUAUAUUUAUACAUAAUAUUAAUACAUUUAUACAUUUAUAUUUAUUAUAUUAAUACAUUUAUACAUAAUAUUAAUUUAUAUUUAUAAUAUAUUAAUUGAUACAUUUAUAUUAUAUUCAUUUAUAAUUUAUACACAUUUAUAAUAAUAUACAUUUAUACAUUUAUAAAUAUAUUUAUAUUAUGUGUUAUAUAUAAUAUAAUACAUUUAUAUAAAUAUAUUUAUAAAUAUAUAAAUAUAUUUAUUUAUAAAUAUUUAUAAAUGUAUUAUAAAUGCAUAAAUGUAUAUAAAUAUAAAAAUUAUAAAUUAGUAUAAUAUUCAUUUAUAAUUUAUACAUUUAUACAUUUCUAAAUAUAUUUAUAUUAUGUAUUAUAUAUAAUAUAAUACAUUUAUAUAUUUUUAUAUAAAUAUAUUGAUUUAUAAAUAUUUAUAAACGUAAUAUAAAUGCAUAAAUGCAUAAAUAUAAAAAUUUAUAAUUUAUAAUUUAUAAUUAAUACAUUUAUAUAAUAUUCAUUUAUAAUUUAUACAUUUAUAAUAAUAUACAUUUAUACAUUUAUAAAUAUAUUUAUAUUAUGUAUUAUAUAUAAUAUAAUACAUUUAUAUAUUUUUAUAUAAAUAUAUAAAUAUAUUUAUUUAUAAAUGUGUUAUAAAUGUAUAAAUGUAUGUUGUUAUAAAAAUAUAAAAAUUAUAAAUUAUAAAAAUAAUCAAAAAUAUGUUUUAAAAAUACAUCUAAAAAUAAUCCAUAAAACAUAUACAGUAAAAGUUUUUGAUAUAGUUUUUGAAAAAUAACUCCAAAAAUAACUAAUCCAAACGAACUUGUAUUUGAAAAACGAAAUGCUACAGUGUUGUUUUUGAAAAACAACCCCAAAAAUAGCUAAUCCAAACGGAUUUAUGGGGUUUAAAUUUUACUUCAUUCGUUGGCGUAAUAUAUCACAAUGUAGUAUAAGAAUCAAUUAAAAACAAAAAGAAAAAAUCUUCAAAUUUCAAUUAGGAAUUCGUUGGCCUCUUUAGAUCCGUCCCUUCAAUUGCGAUUUUUUUUUCAUUUUCUCAUUUAUUAACUCAUAAUAAGAUCUUGAUAACUAUUUGAAACUUAACAAUUUAAAUGAGACCUUUCAAGUAAUUAAAUAUUAUUAAAUGGAUGAAAAUGGGAAAAUAUAUAAUCUUGAUCCAUGUAAUAACUUUAUUUUGAAUCCAUUGAAUUUGAUUUCAUAUUUUUCCCAUCACAAUUAUUGUAAAGAGACAUCUACAAUAAUAAGUUUUGGACAGUUUAUUUGUAAAAAAAUGUGUAUAGCUAAAAUAGAUCGCAUCUAAAAUCAAAAUCAGCGCAAGUUAUAUUUGCUCAAGUUGAUUCUGUCGCAAUGUGAUCAGCUAAGUCUUAUCUGCCGCAACCACCCGCGCGUUACAAUCAAUCUGCAACAGGUAAGCAGAAAAGUACAAUUUCAAGAUCAAAUUCGGCCUGGUACUGGCCAUUAAACCUUUCCAAAGCUCCUUUUUAAGGUGUAGAGAGAGCUUUAUUCGCUGCGAUCCAAAGCUUAUCACAUAUGCAACCAUUCUUCAGAGUUGAAAAUUUUACCUCUUUAUGUCAUUGUACUUAAAUUUUGCUGCGACCUGGUGUCAUUUAAACCUCCAAACUACUGUUUAGAUACGGUUGGUUUUGUACCCAUCGCGUGCUUUCCAUCCAAGAAAAGAUGAUUGAUCAUUAUGGUUACUUUUAUGUUGCUCUAGGACUGAAAAAAAUAGCAGGAAUUAUUCAUUUUAAGAUGAUAAGUAUUAUGGGUAGCAAUAAAAAUUUUCGUCAACGGAACUAGGCAUGAAUAUUUUAGAACGCAAAUGAAAAGCGCACAAAUCAAUCCGUUGCCAAACUAAUUUUGUAGAAGUAGAGCUUCGAGCAGCUAUUACUCCGUGGCUUUGAAUUCAAGAGUUCUCGCUUAUAAUCCCUUCCACCUUACCAUUCAAAUGCAGUAUACACGAAAGAAAAUACACUAAACUAAAUUUGAUGAUCCGAAAGCAUAAGAGGCAAGAGCCUGAAAAGCUUGUAAAGGUCAGUCACGCCUUAGAAAUGGGCCAUCUUUUGCUAGGUAGAAACUCACUCCAGCAUAGGCUAAUAAAUAAUAAACGGCAAGGACUAAAGAGUGAGAAGAGGAAGAGGAAGAGCAGAGGAGGGACACGAGCGGAGGGCAAAAGGAAGACAAGAGACAUUAGUCAUCCAACAACACACUUCAAUGAAUCCAAUAACUAGUCUACAAAUAACAGAUGCCUAUUCUCUAAUAACUAGUCUACAAAUAACAAGUAUUCAGAAGCAUCCAACCGUUGCUAAUAAGUGAUUACAAGCAUCAAUCAGGAUACAAAUUAACUUCAGUGGGACUAGCUCAUCUAACAACACAUGCAUGAUUCCUUGUAGCAUCGUCCCUUGACCAUGAAAGAAUGAUUACAAGCAUACAUGCCUUUGUGUACAAGCUACUGUCUGUAUUUACACAUACGCAUUGCCUCAAGUUUCUAUCUGUGUACUUAACGAAAGAGUAAACAGCUAAGCUAACAAAAUUGUGGCACAACCUAUACCAAGCAAUCAAGUAGGUGAUUCGGAUUCAGCCAGCAAAAGUGUGUGCCACCAGCCACAUGCCACAUUCUUCGGAACGCACCCGUCAAUUGCAACUUGAGAAGGAAUGUUGCGAUCAAUCACAUCACCUAAGCCAAGCUACACAGAGAAAAGAUUGACUUCUUCUAUUACACAAUUUUAAAAAAAAAAUAUUACCAUCAAAUUUUUAUGAGGUAGAGGUAUCUAUGCCAACAACAAGCCAAAAGGUAAUCCACCAUGAUAAUGCUCUAGACAGAGUGCAACAGAUAUGUGCAAGACCAAUAGGCUAAAGGUGUUUACUACAAAAUGGUUAUGUUCGAUCUCAACCAGAGAAAAAAAAAUGUCCAAAGUACCGAAAGAUGAUGCUUUCAAAACAUGGCUUGAAUUUUCUUCCAAAAAACUAAAUUGAGAUCUUCACUUAACGAAUAGUAGUGGUAGUUGACUUUUUCAGCAUUUAAUUGUUUUGCAUAUAUUGGAUAUUAGGUGGAUUUUUUUUAUUUACGUCACCGAUUGUUACCAAGACAUACUUUUUUCUUCUAAGGAAGAUCUUUGUAAUUUUUCAAAUCUCAAGAAAAAUAGUUGCAAUGUUAGAAACCUCAAAGGGAGAUUUUUGAGAUUAUCCCUAUUUAUAUGUUGGAAGAUAUUCCAACAUGAAUUUAUCUAAUUUAAGUAAACCCUUUUAUCUAAUGUUAAACAAAAAAACCAAGUGGUUGUAUGAGAAGCAUUGCAUUAUGAAUCACAGACCUCAUUAGCCAAGUAGUCGGCAAGUUAAUUUCAAUCUUUAGGAAAAACAUUGCCAAAAUUAAGUUCUCGUUCUUGGUCAGUAUUUUUUGUUUCGCUGAACAGUUUAAUAUAUAGUGAUGACGGAAUCUUGAAAGCGUCCUCGCAACGUCCGUAGAAGUUCAAACACUGAAAGGACAGUUUAAGUAAUGCAAAGAUUUCAGAAGCGCGAACUACUGAAAAUUGGGCAACUCAAUUUUCUCACGACACGAAACAGUUGGGCGAUGCGAAGUCAUCUCUCAAGAUAAGUCAUUUCACUUUUUCUUAUAGGUAAUUGAACAUCAAAAUAAUAAUUGACACCGAAAAUGAUUGCAUUAAAAAAUAAAAAAUGAUUCUGUUGGGUCGAUUCCUUGCUGACGAGCCGGAAAACGACGUCGAGUAUUAAGAACCAUUGUAAAGAGCAACAGGCUGAUUACUUGUCCUCGUUUGUUCAAUUAAUGACGUGCAAUGUGCUUUGUAUAUGUGUAGUUUAGUUCCCCUACAAGGUGCUAAUUAAUAAUCUCGGUAUGUUUUGUAAAAGGGGAAACAAUAUUCAGCUAAGUCGUUUGAAAGAAUUAUUAAUGUUUUAUUACUCUUACCUCUUUUUCCUUUAUAUUAUUACUACUUUUUUUUUUGUAUUUCAAAUUAACAAAGCCCAAAACUAGAAACUAUUCAAAAAUAACAUCCGGUAGUUUAGUAUUUUUUAUCCUUUUUUUUUUGUUAAUCGUCACUUUAUUUAUAUAAUUCUACUCUAUCAUAACGUAAGGGGAGGACUAACUAGACUUACGGGGAGUUGAUGGUUACUGAUGGAGGUAUUGGAGAAUGUUUUAGAGAUUCACUACACACCAUCUGAAUGUUUUAGAGAAUUCUUGACUUCUCACCCCAUCAAGCCUUAAAGGACUUGGUAGUUUACUUGGGAUGGUGGUUAGUUUAGUGUUGUUGAUCGUUGAACCAAAGUUUGGAGCUUUUAGGCUGAGCAAUACCAAUUUUUUUUGGCGUACAUAAUUAAUUGCAACGGAUCAAAUCUACAUAUUUAUUGAUUUAUUUAUUUUAGAUAUUUAACAUGAUUUGCAAUUAUUUCUUAGUGGGGGAGGAGGGAGGAUUGAAGAGAGGGCCGUGUUAGUGUCGUCAUCCCACCCCAUGUUUCGAAUCCUGACAUGGACAUUAAUUUGCUUUGGAUUCUCUGGAAAUGAUUAAAUCUAUGCAUGGCCCAGCCGUCCUCAUGCUAACCCUGAAUUCCCAGCUUUUCCUUCCCACAAGAACACUUCCAUUUUUGGGUUUUUUGAGAGCUAAAAUACAGCGUAGAAAACUUGAAGGAUCGAGAUUCCCAAUCACAGACGGACGGCUGAGUCCAAGGUUUCAUUUCAUUUAUUCAUGUUAAAAACACAGACUAACAAAAUGCAUGACGGCGUUGACAUUUCAUUUCACGUCUCCUUUGAAUGAAGAACAAGUCAAUUACCCUCCUCCAUAUUCCCAGAGCAAAGCGGGUUUUUUUUUUUUUUACUUUUUUUAUGCCCACCAGACGCAAUUUAUCAAGCCGCUGGUUGGUUUUGGUUUGCACCAAUUCAAUAUGUUCGGUUGCGGCGUCCACGAUAUCCAGACGCGUAGGAAACGGCGGCCACUGCUCAUGCAGAUUGCAGAUUGCAGAUUGCAGGUGCUCUUAACGUUUCUCUUGCUGGCAAAACUUUAGGCGGAUUAAGUACUUCUUCUAACCUUAGCUAGCAUCCUCACUAAUGAAUGUUUGUCUGUUAUGCUAUGGGUCGAUUCAGAACCAAAAAUUUUCUUCAAAAGACAAAAGAAAUGAAGAAGGGCUCUGUUCCUGAAUAAAUAAAGAAAUGACACCAAAAAAAUAAUAAGAAUUCAUGGAGAAAAUGAAUCACAUGGCAAGCACGUCAUCCGGGCCGAAAGUUCCUGGGAAAGAAACUUUAGAGUGGGAGAUACAUAUGAAGAAGAGGGAGAAAAAGAACAACAGCCAACCCCAAUCUUUGCAGUAAAGCAGUAUAUUAUGCAGUUUUGGCAGCUGCAUAUACUUCAUUGGACAUGCUAAUUGAGCUUCACUGAUAACGACUCCUGUCGACUAAUAUAUGCUCAUCUCCCAUUGUGUAAAACGUUCGGUAUUUUUUCUUUCCAAUUGUAUAUCCUUCUUUUAUUAGAUAACGUUGAAGUCAAUAAUAAUGUCUUGGGCUUUAAAGAAGUAAAGAAAAAUAUUACUAGAAAUUAGUUACAAGUUAAUUGUAAUUAUUCAAAGUUUCUAGUAAAGGCAAAUUGGCAUUUUAAAUGAUAAUGAUAGUUUAUAGUCUGACACCAUGAACAGGUAAAUUUUGAUUUUUCCCUUUUGGGCACGAUUCAAUUAAGCUAGAUAGAUUAUCUUUAUUUUUUUUUUAAAAUCCCUUUUGAUUUUCUCUUUUCUUUUUAGAGGAGCUUUUUUUUUUUUUUUUUUUUUUUUUUUAACCAAGGCCAUCGUCUAAUACAAGCUUAGGGAACACGUUAGUGGCCGAAGUGGUCUUCGUCUGGAAAAAAUUGUAAGUCAUCGCAUCUACCAAACUACUCAGCCGUUUUCCUCACGGAAAUAUGUACAAAAUACGAAGCUUCUCAGAAAUGGUCCACCCUUUGUAAUUACCAUUUUCCUGAGGAGAUUGUCUGUGAAUUUUGUUAUAUAGUGAGUGUUGUUGCGCUGUCACAGUCUUAAAUCAGUUUGAUGAAUGAAACUACUGUUUAAGGUUUGUAGUUUGUUGGUAGUCAAAAUAGAAGAAGUGCAUAGUUUAUAGAUUACGAAUUUUCGCACAAAAAUUAUGAAAUGUUUUUUCAAGACAUUAUUAUUUUUUUGAUUACGUUCUUUUCGUAUAUACAAUCAUAUCAUUACAGUAUUAUAUAUAAAUUCCAAAAGUUUACUAUCCAAACGAGUGCUCUUAGCCAUUCCUAUUGUGCUUUCAAAUGUCAUUGAUAAUCGGUGUGUUUGGAUUAUAUAUUAUUUUCACUUUAUUUACACAUACUGAUUUGUUUGCAUCAUCAACAUAUUUUUCAAUCAUUUUUUUUAUUGCACAUACAUCACAUCAGAAAAGUAUUACAGUAUGUUUUGUACAAAAUUAUCUCAAAUAAUCUACUAUCCAAACACACUCAAUUUUGAUUUUGUCUCUGUCUCAAAUGUUUAUACUCCACCGGAGGAUGGCGUACUGAUUGAAAAUUUUUGAGGCUUGCGAGGCCAACUCAUUAAGUGAAUUAAUAAUUAUCCACGAGAAACUGCUUAUGUCUACUUCUAAAUAUAUUUGUCCGUAAAAGCCCUUGGCAUUUCCUUCCAACAACAUUAUGUGCAAACCUGCCAUCAAAUUCAUUGGAUGCUUGAAGCUUCAGCCACAAGAACACAGGCUGUAUUCACUGCUCGGUCAGUCGCGUUUGCUUCUCCAGCAGCUCCCUUUUUUGGUUUCCUUCAAUGAUGAAGUAGUGCAGAUUCGGGACAUCACUUUGGAGGUUGGAGCUGGAGUAGCAGGCAAGUCAUAUGUCAAUCAAAACGGAGAUGCAGUUCAGUUUGGUUUGGUGGGGCUUUGGUCAAACUGCACCUUGUUCAAUCAUGGGCCUUAUUCUACACCAGAGAAUAUUCCAAAAACAAAAAAAAAAAGAGGUUGAGCUUAGGAGUCCUUCCAAUUGUUCAAAUGCUUUUUUUUUUUUUUUAGUCUUUGUUUAUCGACUAAUCAACUAGUUAGUGAUUGCUGCCUUUCACCUUCAUUCUAGAACGCUACUCUUUGGUAAUGAAAACAAACUUGUAAAUUGUAAAGCAGCUUUUCACCUUCUUGACUCAAUGAACUAACAUGCUUUCACAAUUCCCAUGUUCUCGAACUUUUUACGAUGCACAUUUUGUCAUCAUCAUCUCCUUAUAGUUAUUGUAUUUUUAAAUUAUAAACUUUUCAUUUUUAAUGCAAUAGUAUUUACUAUUUCAGUCCAUUCUUCGUGCUGAAUUAAAGUUUUAUAAAUGAAAAAAAAGUACGUACGACUAAAUGAAGGAAAGACAAACAGAGAUAAAAUUCGUCGGCCCAUGACGAUUGAUACUGCAUUGAAUCAAAUCCAACGACAUCCAAAACUGAUGCAAACCAAAUUUCCCCAGCCACUUUGAUCAGUUGAGUGGCAGUUGUCCUGGGCCAAUUGUGUGUUCUCCAAUGGCGGCCUUUCACAGGCCGGCCCAGGCUCUCCAACAAUAAGCCCACCCGUUUAACAAGUUGGGCUUUUCGACCGUCUGGUCCUCGAGUCCCCGCAUCCUGCAGAAGGCAGGUCAACAACGCUUAGAGGAAACAAGCUCCCAAUUCCUAUAGGUAUCUUUACCACAACCAAAUUGCCUUCUUUAGAAUGGGAGUACUCUCGAACGGAAAAGUGAAAAAAAACCAUUAACCAAGCAACAAAAAUGGUUUUACAGGGAGCGACGGAUACAUGUAUAACGGGAAGAAACUUAACAACCACGACCAAUAACACUAUGAAACAGACAAACAAACAAAAUUUUCACUCUGCUAUUCUGCCACUACGAUAAAACGCACAUCAUUUUAUCAAAUUUAGCAGCUACUCCUCCUCCUACUCUUCUGGGAUAGACUUUGAUUUUGCAAUGCUGAUAAUAUAUUCAAUCUCCUCAGCCACCUCUUUCAUGGAAGGCCUGUCUUGUCUGCGUUGCUCCAAGCACCCCGUAGCAAGAAACCCCAGUGCCUUCAUGGUAUCAAGCUCCAAAGUGCUUGCCCCCUGCUUCAAUAUUGGAUCAACUGCAUCCAUUAUUUUAUCCUCCUCCACCAACCUCUGCACAUAGACUGCCAGGUUUACAUCAUCUUCCGGUCUAUUAAAAUCUAUUGCUUUCUGAGAUGUCAAGAGCUCCAACAGCACGACGCCGAAGCUGUAGACAUCACUCUUAUCCGUCAACUGAUAGUUCCUGUAGUACUCAGGGUCGAGAUAUCCAAGAGUUCCCUGUGCACACGUUGAUAUGUGGCUUAGAUCUGUGUGAGCUAGACGAGAUAGCCCAAAAUCUGAAACCUUUGCAUUUAGCUUAUCGUCGAGCAAAAUGUUACUAGACUUCACGUCACGGUGAUAAAUUGGAGGAACUGCAGAGAAAUGGAGGUAAGCAAGCCCCUCAGCAGUCGCAUGAGCAAUGGUGAGACGAGCAGUCCACGCUAAAGGUUUCCUGUUCAAACCUUGUAAAUGAUCGAGAAGGGUUCCAUUUGGGACAUAUUCAUAAACCAUCAACGGUUGCUCGAGCUCAACACAGCAUUAAGAACUUGUGAUUUACCUACAAGGCUCUUGUGAUUUACCUGACAAAGUAUUCUGACCUCAUUAAGAACUUGGUCAGUCCCUUUAGUGUUCCCUAGCUUGGCACAUUUGAUAGCAACAACCGUUCCAUCUGCAAGGAUGCCUCUGUACACCUCACCGUAGCCUCCUACACCAAGAAGACGGUCCCUUGAGAAGUUGUUUGUUGCCUUCUUUAUUUCUUUCCCACUAAAUAUUUUUGCAUAUUUCCCACCGCCAGAAUUGAGAAUCUCUUCACGCUCCCGAGCAAGCCGAUCCUUUGCCUCCUUGACGCGCUGAUGUCGUUUGUAAAGUAAAAAUCCAAUUACUGCCAAUAUUAGUCCUGCACCCAGACCCGUAGAGAGACCUGUAUUGUUCCUAACAUACAUUAGUGUCAUUGAACAAUAAUCCCCACGUCAUGUUUUUGUUAUGUUGAAAAUUUCAAACAACGAAUGCAGGUGGACUCCAAGUGCUACCUGGGAAUUCUUUCCGUCCUAAAUAAAACCUCUUGUAGCAAAGAUACAAUAAUCUUCUACUAGCAACAUGCAUCUCGAAGCUAAAUAAUAUGGCUAUGAAGAUAAGAUUUUAAACUGAGCGAGUUCUAACCCACUGAAAGGCAAAUGCACAAUUAAGUCUAGACCACCUUUUGAAACAUCAAACAAUCACAAACUUAAGAUGAAGAAAUCAUGUAGUUGGAUUUCAUGGAGAAUAUUAAUUGUUCAUAUCAUUUGAAUCUGGUUGAAUAAGGUAACAGGAUGUCAUACUUGAUUAAUUAGGUAUAAAUGGUAUUGCUUUCAAGUAACAAAAAUUAACUUGUGCUUUACAACCCUGUAAGGGAUGUUCAGCAAGAGAGGAGUCCUGCUUGUUAGUUCUUGUUAGAACAGAACAUGUUCAAAUUUUUACAAGCCAAAAAACAACGAUACGGCGUCAGUCAGCACAAAAGAAAUUAGUGAUAACUUCUCUUGCAUAAAUCAUAAAGCUAAGGAAUCAGAAUGUAAUAUCACCAGUACUGACCAACCACAGCCCUUUUGUUACUAGUACAUUUUUCUCCUCUACUGCUGCAAAUCGCCAAGUUUAGAAGCUAAGCUAAAACUAGUGCAAAGGGCAUAUUGACUCCCCAGUCCGCGGUCAUUUUCAUUGACCAGCAAACAGGAUGAUGGAAAGAAGGUCAACAGUUGAAUAAUAGAUUAAGAAGCAACCUUGAAUUUGUAGGCCUUCAUCUUCCAGAAGCCAACUCACAAUUUGACAAUUAUUCUCGGAUGGUUAUGCAUUUCUAGAAUGUUUUCAUAAUCAACCUAUUAUUCAUGUCAAGUUGAAAAACAAACAUGUUCCUCGGAAUUUGCUGUGAUAUAAUUUUAGAUUAUUCUGUUUUGUACUAGUAAGAGCUUUGAGAAUCUUACGUAGUAGGCCCUGUGUUUCUCUUCAAAAAAAAAAUUUUUUUUUUUUGGGGGGGUGCAGGUGAGCGUAUUUGGUAAAAAAUAAAAACGCAUUCUUUCAGCUCAAUUAGAGCUAAUAGUUUAAGCAGAAACAACUAUCAAGAAGUUGAGUCUACUACGAAAUGUCAAGUGUUUUUUUGAAAAAAAAAAAAGAAGAAGAAGAAAGAAAAACACAAAUCAUGGAGUCAAAGUCAACUACAAAAAAUGCAAUUCUAACAGAUGAGCAACGAUGUUUGAAAAUCUUGCAAGCGUAGAACAUGAUGCAGGGGUCCACACAUUACACGUACCA
rnacentral:lncRNA from 1 species